CAUCCAUGUUGUCAUCUCAUCAUUUGGAUGAUAGCUCGUUGAUUUUCAUAAAUGACGAAAAGUUUUUCUUUUCUGCUUUUCUAUCUUGCAGAACUUCUAGUCUCUAUUUGGCUGGCCUAUAAUUGACAUAAUUCUUGAUUUCUUUCAGGGCAUUUUUGGAUCAUUAUAUAGAUGCUUAGCAAGGGGGGCAAGAGCAGUUUUCCAAGUUUAUCCAGAAAGUAUAGCUCAGCGUGAGUUGAUUUUGAGUUCUGCUAUGCGUGCUAGAUUUGCAGGUGGUGUGGUGGUUGACUACCCACACAGCACGAUGAGCAGGAAAGAAUACCUUGUGCUUACUUGUGGGCCGCCAUCGAUCAGCACUGCCGUACCAAA